rnacentral:rRNA from 1 species
GACACACGGCGGGUGCUAACGUCCGUCGUGAAGAGGGAAACAACCCAGACCGCCAGCUAAGGUCCCAAAGUCAUGGUUAAGUGGGAAACGAUGUGGGAAGGCCCAGACAGCCAGGAUGUUGGCUUAGAAGCAGCCAUCAUUUAAAGAAAGCGUAAUAGCUCACUGGUCGAGUCGGCCUGCGCGGAAGAUGUAACGGGGCUAAACCAUGCACCGAAGCUGCGGCAGCGAACGUAUCACCCAAGACAACUUUACGGAGUUGACGAUUGACGGAGCGAAGCGACGUCAAAGCGUUCAUUAAAGUCGAGUUGGCUUAGGGAUACGUUCGUUGGGUAGGGGAGCGUUCUGUAAGCCUGUGAAGGUGUGUCGUGAGGCAUGCUGGAGGUAUCAGAAGUGCGAAUGCUGACAUAAGUAACGAUAAAGCGGGUGAAAAGCCCGCUCGCCGGAAGACCAAGGGUUCCUGUCCAACGUUAAUCGGGGCAGGGUGAGUCGACCCCUAAGGCGAGGCCGAAAGGCGUAGUCGAUGGGAAACGGGUUAAUAUUCCCGUACUUGGUGUUACUGCGAAGGGGGGACGGAGAAGGCUAUGUUGGCCGGGCGACGGUUGUCCCGGUUUAAGCGUGUAGGUGUGUGUUCCAGGUAAAUCCGGUUCACUUUAACACUGAGGCGUGACGACGAGGCACUACGGUGCUGAAGCAACAAAUGCCCUGCUUCCAGGAAAAGCCUCUAAGCAUCAGGUAACACGAAAUCGUACCCCAAACCGACACAGGUGGUCAGGUAGAGAAUACCAAGGCGCUUGAGAGAACUCGGGUGAAGGAACUAGGCAAAAUGGUGCCGUAACUUCGGGAGAAGGCACGCUGACACGUAGGUGAAGUGAUUUACUCAUGGAGCUGAAGUCAGUCGAAGAUACCAGCUGGCUGCAACUGUUUAUUAAAAACACAGCACUGUGCAAACACGAAAGUGGACGUAUACGGUGUGACGCCUGCCCGGUGCCGGAAGGUUAAUUGAUGGGGUCAGCGCAAGCGAAGCUCCUGAUCGAAGCCCCGGUAAACGGCGGCCGUAACUAUAACGGUCCUAAGGUAGCGAAAUUCCUUGUCGGGUAAGUUCCGACCUGCACGAAUGGCGUAAUGAUGGCCAGGCUGUCUCCACCCGAGACUCAGUGAAAUUGAACUCGCUGUGAAGAUGCAGUGUACCCGCGGCAAGACGGAAAGACCCCGUGAACCUUUACUAUAGCUUGACACUGAACAUUGAGCCUUGAUGUGUAGGAUAGGUGGGAGGCUUUGAAGUGUGGACGCCAGUCUGCAUGGAGCCGACCUUGAAAUACCACCCUUUAAUGUUUGAUGUUCUAACGUGGACCCGUAAUCCGGGUUGCGGACAGUGUCUGGUGGGUAGUUUGACUGGGGCGGUCUCCUCCUAAAGAGUAACGGAGGAGCACGAAGGUUGGCUAAUCCUGGUCGGACAUCAGGAGGUUAGUGCAAUGGCAUAAGCCAGCUUGACUGCGAGCGUGACGGCGCGAGCAGGUGCGAAAGCAGGUCAUAGUGAUCCGGUGGUUCUGAAUGGAAGGGCCAUCGCUCAACGGAUAAAAGGUACUCCGGGGAUAACAGGCUGAUACCGCCCAAGAGUUCAUAUCGACGGCGGUGUUUGGCACCUCGAUGUCGGCUCAUCACAUCCUGGGGCUGAAGUAGGUCCCAAGGGUAUGGCUGUUCGCCAUUUAAAGUGGUACGCGAGCUGGGUUUAGAACGUCGUGAGACAGUUCGGUCCCUAUCUGCCGUGGGCGCUGGAGAACUGAGGGGGGCUGCUCCUAGUACGAGAGGACCGGAGUGGACGCAUCACUGGUGUUCGGGUUGUCAUGCCAAUGGCACUGCCCGGUAGCUAAAUGCGGAAGAGAUAAGUGCUGAAAGCAUCUAAGCACGAAACUUGCCCCGAGAUGAGUUCUCCCUGAGACUUUA